UAGGGAAUUUUCGUCAAUGGGGGGAACCCUGAACGAGCAAUGCCGCGUGAGUGAGGAAGGUCUUCGGAUCGUAAAGCUCUGUUGUAAGAGAAAAACGGCACUCAUAGGGAAUGAUGAGUGAGUGAUGGUAUCUUACCAGAAAGUCACGGCUAACUACGUGCCAGCAGCCGCGGUAAUACGUAGGUGGCGAGCGUUAUCCGGAAUGAUUGGGCGUAAAGGGUGCGUAGGUGGCAGAUCAAGUCUGGAGUAAAAGGUAUGGGCUCAACCCGUACUGGCUCUGGAAACUGAUCCGCUAGAGAACAGAAGAGGACGGCGGAACUCCAUGUGUAGCGGUAAAAUGCGUAGAUAUAUGGAAGAACACCGGUGGCGAAGGCGGCCGUCUGGUCUGGAUUCUGACACUGAAGCACGAAAGCGUGGGGAGCAAAUAGGA
rnacentral:rRNA from 1 species